UGAAGUCAGGUCUUCUUGAUCUUCUCCCUGUCUUGUCAUCUGGCUGUGUGCAGGUUGGUAUGUGCAUGCAGUGCUGUGAUCUCUCUCACUCUCCCCCUGCAGGGUGCAACUGGCAGGUGCAGCUCUACAGGUGUCUUCCAUGAAGACUAAUAAGGAAGAUUUUUAAGGAGCUGGAACCUAGAGGAAGGUGCCAGCCCGUUAGCUCACUCAGAGUGGACUUUCCUCCAACAUUGGCUUCUCCCAUGCCCCGUUGCUCCGUGUCUACUCUGUUGGAUCUCGCUGAAAGCACUUGAGAGAAAGAUGCCAGAUUGUCAGUCUCCCUUUCGCUCCCAGAACCAGCCUCCUCGAAGCUGAGAACCAUUCUUCCUUCGGUUUGCUCACCUGCCUGUCCACCCUCCACCUCAUGCUGGAACACCUUCCGAAAAGCAUCCAGGUGACAAAGAGAGAUGCAGCUUUUUCCACAGAAUUACACCAUCUGCCAAACUCUGCCUCAGUGGACAGACUUGCCUUCCCUGGAACUUUUAACUACAAGUUUGACAAUAAGCUUAAUCUCUACCCACACAUUACUUUACCAUCCAUCCACUGUGAAGAUUUUAACAUCUAACCUCUCUUCUGUAGUGCCCAGUCAGAUUGUCCUCAGACCCCCCUGAUGACUAGCCAAACCAUUUACACUGCUCCAUAUCUGUGCUGACUGUCAGUCUAAUCGCUCAACAUUAUGACGCUCCUUCUUUUAUUACACUUCUAUGUGUUACUGUCAGGAUUUGGUAUGAGGACGCAGAGCAGGUAAGAAUCAAUCUAAAUGUUUGUUUAAUUGUAAUAAGAGCAGAAAACUGUCCUGCACAAAGAGGUGAGAGUGGUAACAUUGGAAGCAUGGAGAACAAAGUGCAUGAAGUCAACGAUAGGAACCAGUAAAGAAUGACAGAGAUUGUAAAUACAGGGGGAAAGUGAGAGGUUGAGGUAAUUGGCAGACUCAAGUGGGCUGAAUGAACCUGAAGAAAGAAGGCCGAGUAAAACAGAAGGAGACUGGGACUAGACAUAAACAGAAUAUCAUCGUCUUUCGUACCGAUCUGACCCACAUGCAGAACACACUCAGGAGACAGGAGAAAGUUUAAAAUGUUUAUUGUAACUGGUUUGAUAAGUGAAUCAGGAAUCUGGGAACAGAGAAUGAGUCUUUAAUUGUACAUGAAAGAUAAGUUGGAUUAGUAAGGUGCUGGAGGAUAUUGGAAGGGAGAAUGUGCUUACAGGAGAUGAGAUGCUGAACCGCCAAGGAGGAAUGAGCGGGGUCUGGUAGCAGAUGAUCAGCCAGAGGAGGGUGAAGUUGAUCCAGGAGGAAGAUGAGCUUGGUAAAGACUAGUGGGUCUUUGCAGGGCAGCUUGGAAGGUGACACAGGGGCAACCUGAGGAAGAACACACACGAGGUGAGAUAAUCCUUAGUGAAUCAGGAACUACGGAGGGCUAGAGCUAUACCACAGUUGCCUAACACUCAGGCAAUGAAAUGCUGGCUGCAGAUUCCUCUUAACCCUCUCCUAAUGAGGCUUGAGGAUCCACACCUGUCGCAGCACCCAGCCACCGUGUUCAGACGCCACCUAGCGGAGGAAUAAGGACCCAGCAGGCAAAAGAGGAGACAAAGUCUCCCAGACCCCAACACAAAGCACUAAAUAAUUAAAGACAAAGAUCUAAAUGGAAUAAACAAGAAUACACAUGGAAUAAACCAAGCACAAGGACUACUUUUUAAAGCAAUACCUAACAAUGAUAAAGAACACUGACUAUAUCAGAAUAAAGAAAUUAACAAUACUGAAAAACACUCAAGAAAUAUGACAUUUGCAAAUAGAAUUUACUUGAAUUGGGCUUUUUAUUGAGUGUUGUUUGGGGACUGGUGGCUUAUGCAACCAUCCUAUCAACCUUCAAAAUUGGAAGACAGGACUUAGAUCUUUUUCACACCUAAUAGUCCAAUAGACCCAAAUAUUAUUGUGACACUGAGCUGUUGCUAUAUAUUUUUGUAUUGGUUGUUUACCCACAAUGUUCUGUGUUGUUGUCCGCUUCCUGCAUUUAGUUCCGUUGAAACAGACUGAGAUCUGUGCUUGAAGAGGUAACGGAGUUCACCUUUUUGGUCCACACCAGUGUUUGAUUGCACAUUCACACCUUGCCAAAAGACCCAGACUAUCCAGGCAAAUGCAACCUCAAACCAUACAGAGCAUCAAGUCAGUAUUUUCAGAGGAAGAUAAGAGAGACCAGAGCCAACAAUGCAGGAGGAUGAAAAUAUGAAGGCAUCAAAGGACAUUGGACAAAGUGCUUCAAAAAGAGCAAAAUACUUGAUCAACUGGAUCACAUCCAAAGGACCAAGCAUGGGUCUCCUCAAAACAAGCUUCACAAACAUAUUUCAGUCCAGAAUAACCACAGGCAGUGCAAUCAAUAUGGGUGAAACAGGUGCAGAGGCAACCAUGUUCCAGAAGCAAUUUUACGCCAUUACUGUCAACGGGACAUUCAUGCAUAGCAUUGAAAACAAUGCCAGACCAUUCAAAAAACACAGACUGACUGUUAGUCCAGAUAUAGCAACACUGAACGUGAAAUGUAUGCAAAAACACCCCACAUACCUGUACAGGUAGUCCUUCACUGUGAUAACAGAUCGCAAACCAUUUAUUGAUAAGUAGGGUUGUCAUGUUAAAAGCAUUUCAAUCUCCAUACCGAUGCUAAGAGUAUUAUUCUAUCAAUACCAUUUUCAAUGCCAAGGCAACCUUUUUGAAGGCACAUUUCUUUCUAAUAAAGAGCAGAAAAUAUGA